GAGGAAUAUUGCACAAUGGGCGAAAGCCUGAUGCAGCAACGCCGCGUGGAGGAUGAAGGCCUUCGGGUCGUAAACUCCUUUUCUGGGGGACGAGAAAGGACGGUACCCCAGGAAUAAGUCUCGGCUAACUACGUGCCAGCAGCCGCGGUAAUACGUAGGAGGCGAACGUUAUCCGGAAUUACUGGGCGUAAAGCGCACGCAGGCGGCUUCGUAAGUCCGACGUGAAAGCUCCCGGCUUAACUGGGAGAGGCCGUUGGAUACUGCGAGGCUCGAGGUUAGGAGAGGAAAGUGGAAUUCCCGGUGUAGUGGUGGAAUGCGUAGAUAUCGGGAGGAACCCCAGUGGCGAAAGCGACUUUCUAGCCUACACCUGACGCUGAGGUGCGAAAGCGUGGGGAGCGAAC
rnacentral:rRNA from 1 species